UCCAACCCAGUGCCUCACACAUGCCAGGCAAGUGCUCUACCACUGAGCCACAACCUCAGCCCCAAGAAUCUCCCCUUUUAACUUAUAUAAUUUAUUAGCAUAAAUUAUUCAUAAUUGCUGUGAUUUGGAGCUUGUAUUAAAGGAGGCUUGAUUAUUAGCCUAUGGUGCUAUUGGGAAAUAAUGGAGCCAUUGGGAAGUGGGACCUACUGAGAGGUCCUUAGAUGACUGGGCAUGCUGUUGAAGAGGAUAUUGGGACAUAGCCUGUUAGAGUCUGUAAACAAGUCAAAAUAACACCUGGCAUUUUGCCAGGGGAAUGUUAGAGUUCGUAAACAAGUCUGGAUGGUGGCCUGUUACGGGGAGCCCCGGGACACUCGGGGGUAAGUGACGAAAAAUGCUGCCCGACCAUAGAUAGGACGGGAGCAAAUCUGCUCGUCCCUAGGCAGAUAGGGCGAGAGGAAAAAUGACAAUUUCGAGAAAAUGGAGAAGAUUGAUACAGUAUGUUUGUGUCUUGUUUUGUCUCAGUGUAUUGUAUUGUCUUUGUGAUGAAAAUAUGGAAGGGGUGAGAAGUAAAUUACUAAGGGAAGAAGGCACCCCAGUGGAACCAAGAAUAGUUAGGGCAUGUGUUGAUAAGAGCCCAGGAACUCUAGUCAGAAAGAAAAAGAAAGUUCAGAAGAAGAAGGAUUAUCAGAAAAAAAGUUGCAGCAAAAGGCUAUUACUGAAUACUUUUCAUUACCGGAGGGUGCGUGAAUCGGAGCGGCGGCUGCCACGUGCGCAAAACGCUCAUGGUGCAGCAAGGUUUUUCCAAGCAGCGGCAGUGGGCUCUUCCCCGCCCCCGACCCGGGGAGCGGGAUGCCACUUCAAGAGCCCAAAUCCAAACCUGACCUGGAGGCACAGUUUUGCAGGCUGUUUGAGUCCAGGACACUCCCCAGGGCCAUCUGGGGCUGCCCGGGAUGCUACAGCCGGCAGAAGAUGCUACUGGCAUCCCUGAUGUUUGGUCAUUUUCAAUGCCAAUAACUAAGCUACAAUGGUUCUCCCACACCUGGAAGCUAAUGAGUAAUAAACACUAUUAAGGCUUAUUUCAAAUGUAAAAAACCUUGAGAUAAUGUACUAAAUUGUUCAGAAGGUUGUUUUCUUAGUGGAAUACUACAGGAUUUUUUUUAGCCAUCCAGAGUUCCUGCCUUCGUCCCAGUGCCGGUGAAAAUGAGAGUGGAAGAAUUUCCAGUGUUGCUGAAAACCGGAGGGAGACUUCGGCUGAGAACCGGACGAGACUUUGGAUCAAGCUAGCUGCCUGCAGAACUUACCUGGACUGUGAUUUAAGCUAGCUGCUUGCAGAACUUACCUGGACUGUGAUUUAAGCUAGCUGCCUGCAGAACUUACCUGGACUGUGAUUUACCUGGACUGUGAGUUAAUCUAUUGAGACACUACUUUACCUGGACUGAGACAACAAACUGUAAUCUAUAACAAAUUGUAACUCGGUAUCUUUGCUAACAGUGUCAUUGCUGGUAUAAUUUUUCCAAGGGCUUCUUGCAUGGAGCCAUCAAGUGGCUUGGUAUUGUGGCAUUUUGUAUCCUCCCCUUCUGUUUGUAGCAGGUUAUUUAUGGUGUUUCUGUAAAAACCACUAUGGUGGUUAUUUAAAUUAAACAAAAGGGGGAAAUGUUAGAGUCUGUAAACAAGUCAAAAUAACACCUGGCAUUUUGCCAGGGGAAUGUUAGAGUUCGUAAACAAGUCUGGAUGGUGCCUGGCAAAAUGCCAGAGGGAGUGGUUUGAGAAGUAACAAAAGCGAGCCAUUAAGUGUGGAGAUUCCUUAUUGGUUGACUGAUGUAUCUAGUUUAUGCUAAUUGGAUGAGCUGUGUGGAAUGUAUAAAUACUGCUCCUGUCCUGCAAUAAAUGGCUCCUACUCCUGCUGUAUCAACGUACACAAGUUAUUCGUCC
rnacentral:lncRNA from 1 species